CCUCUGCAACCCCGGGGUCCCCCGGGCGGCACGUGGCGUCCCCCGGCCCCUUCUCAGCCCCCGGCGCAGGAAGCGGCCCCGGGGCCAGUGGCUCCGGCUGCGUCACGGGGGGGAAGUGAGGCUCUGUCUGGAGGGGAAGAGCCACCCGCAGCCCCCCCAGGCCUCGCCACUGCAGCCGUUCCCUCCCUGGCACGGGGACGUGGAGUGGGGACGGUGCUGGGGCAGCAGAAGGGGACGGGGACGUGGCUGCAGCAGGGCCGGGGGUGCUCGGAGCCCGGCUCGCCCUCCCCAGUCCCACCGGGCCCCUUGUCACCCUGGUCCGAGGGACAGCAGCCACCGGGGACGCAGCACGUGCACAAACCGCUCGGCUGCGGGGACACGAGGACGGCAGGGAACCGUCCCCAGCCACCGCGCUGUCCCACAGGGUGGCCUCGGCCUGCCCCACGUCACCGCCACCACCGCAGACUUGGGGACACGGGGUGACAGCCCUAAGCGUCCCCAGCCCCACCGUGCUGCAGGGGCCGGGCUCCGUUUGGGGCAGCCAGGAUGCGCUGGGGACACUGGGGACAGCUGGGACGCAGCAGGGACAGCGAGGACACCCCAGGGACGGCCGGGACGCACUGGGGACAAGCGGGAUGCACUGGAGAAGCAGCCUGAGGGGAGCAGGGGCACAGCGAGGACAGCUGGGACGCGCUGGGGACACGUUGGGGACACGGCAGGGAGAGCCAGGAGGCACCGGGGACAGCGGGGACGCGGAGGGGACGGCCAGGACGGAGCGGGGACACGCGGGCGGGAUGGGGGACAGCGGGGGACACAGCGGGGAGAGCCUGGAUGUGGCAGGGGACGGGGGGACGCGGCGGGGACACCUCGGGGACACCUGGGAACAACGGGCAGGGGAUGGCGGGGACACACCGGGGACGGCGGGGACACACCGGGGGCGGAGGAGGCACACACAGGGGACAGCCAGGAUGCACCGGGGACGCACCGGGGACGCCACCGGGGUGGCCGGGACGCUGCGGGGACAUCCCGAGGUGGCCCGCGCCUCCUCCUACCGGGGCCCGGUUGCCCGGGGCUGCGCGCAGAGCCCGGCCCGGCGGCUCCCCC
rnacentral:lncRNA from 1 species